rnacentral:rRNA from 1 species
UGGGGAAUAUUGGACAAUGGGGGCAACCCUGAUCCAGCGAUGCCGCGUGGGUGAAGAAGGCCUUCGGGUUGUAAAGCCCUUUAGGUUGGGAAGAAGGUUGGUGGAGGAAAUGCCAUUAACUUGACGGUACCGACAGAAUAAGCACCGGCAAACUCUGUGCCAGCAGCCGCGGUAAUACAGAGGGUGCGAGCGUUAAUCGGAUUAACUGGGCGUAAAGGGCGCGUAGGCGGCUCGAUGAGUGUGAUGUGAAAGCCCCGGGCUUAACCUGGGAAGUGCAUUGCAAACGAUCGAGCUGGAGUAGAGGAGAGGGUGGCGGAAUUUCCGGUGUAGCGGUGAAAUGCGUAGAGAUCGGAAGGAACGUCAAUGGCGAAGGCAGCCACCUGGCCAAAUACUGACGCUGAGGCGCGAAAGCGUGGGUAGCGAACAG